GCGGUGGAAACUGAUGAACUAGAGGGUGGUAGGGGUCACGGGAAUCCCAGUGUAGCGGUGAAAUGCGUAGAUAUUGGGAAGAACACCAGCGGCGAAAGCGCGUGACUGGGCCAUUACUGACACUCAUGGACGAAAGCUAGGGGAGCGAAAGGGAUUAGAUACCCCUGUAGUCCUAGCCGUAAACGAUGGACACUAGGUGUUGCCCGAUCGACCCGGGCAGUGCCGUAGCUAACGCGUUAAGUGUCCCGCCUGGGGAGUACGCACGCAAGUGUGAAACUCAAAGGAAUUGACGGGGGCCCGCACAAGCGGUGGAGUAUGUGGUUUAAUUCGAUGCAACGCGAAGAACCUUACCAGGGCUUGACAUGUCGCGAAUCCCCUUGAAAGGGGGGAGUGCCUUCGGGAGCGCGAGCACAGGUGGUGCAUGGCUGUCGUCAGCUCGUGUCGUGAGAUGUUGGGUUAAGUCCCGCAACGAGCGCAACCCACGUUUCUAGUUGCCAGCAUUCAGUUGGGCACUUUAGAGAGACUGCCGGUGACAAACCGGAGGAAGGUGUGGAUGACGUCAAGUCAGCAUGCCCCUUACGUCCUGGGCUACACACGUACUACAAUGCUUCGGACAGAGGGUUGCCAGCCCGCGAGGGUGCGCUAAUCCCGUAAACCGAGGCUCAGUUCAGAUUGCAGGCUGCAACUCGCCUGCAUGAAGGCGGAAUCGCUAGUAAUCGCCGGUCAGCAUACGGCGGUGAUACGUUCCCGGGCCUUGUACACACCGCCCGUCACACCAUGGGAGUUGGCCACGCCCGAAGUUGUUACCCU
rnacentral:rRNA from 1 species